UCGAUGCAGUGGAGGAUGUCACGUUAUCAGUGGUAGAAGCUGCAACCUACACAGGCUAUGGCAGCACAAACUUCUCCUUGCCAUGGUGUUUCAGACCUGCCCUGCCUUGGAGAGACCCCUCUGUAGGCUGAGAGGGGCGCUCUAUCUCCUUGGCCCAUUCAGUCCUCGGCCCCU
ensembl:misc_RNA